GACGAACGCUGGCGGCGUGCAUAACACAUGCAAGUCGAACGGAAAGGCCCUGCUUUUGUGGGGUGCUCGAGUGGCGAACGGGUGAGUAACACGUGAGUAACCUGCCCUUGACUUUGGGAUAACUUCAGGAAACUGGGGCUAAUACCGGAUAGGAGCUCCUGCUGCAUGGUGGGGGUUGGAAAGUUUCGGCGGUUGGGGAUGGACUCGCGGCUUAUCAGCUUGUUGGUGGGGUAGUGGCUUACCAAGGCUUUGACGGGUAGCCGGCCUGAGAGGGUGACCGGCCACAUUGGGACUGAGAUACGGCCCAGACUCCUACGGGAGGCAGCAGUGGGGAAUAUUGCACAAUGGGCGGAAGCCUGAUGCAGCAACGCCGCGUGCGGGAUGACGGCCUUCGGGUUGUAAACCGCUUUCGCCUGUGACGAAGCGUGAGUGACGGUAAUGGGUAAAGAAACACCGGCUAACUACGUG
rnacentral:rRNA from 1 species